AGGUCCGUCCCGUUUUCUUGUCCCCACCCUCCGCAACAUCGCCGCCGCGACCCAGUCUUCAGACGGAUCCUCCGGAAACUUCUGCUCUGUAUCCUUCGUUCCGGGCAGCUGCGGCGGCGGGCUGGCAGCCUUCAUAGAGAUGGAAGCGGCGGGGAGGCGGGUAAUGAUGGCUGAGGCGGAGGCCUGGAUGGACCAAGCGGUGAGCAUGGCUAAAGAAGCCCUAGAGAAUGGUGAAGUACCUGUUGGCUGUCUCAUGGUCUACAAUAAUGAGAUCAUUGGGAAGGGGAAGAAUGAAGUGAAUGAAACUAAAAAUGCAACGCGUCAUGCAGAAAUGGUGGCGAUUGAUCAGGUCAUAGACUGGUGUCAUCGCCACAAGAAAGACCUCAAGGAAGUGUUUGCUCACACCGUGUUGUACGUCACUGUGGAGCCCUGUAUAAUGUGUGCAGCUGCCCUGCGCAUGAUGAAAAUUCAACUGGUUGUAUAUGGUUGCCAAAAUGAACGAUUUGGAGGCUGUGGUUCAGUUUUGAAUAUCUCUUCUGCUACCUUAAUGGACACAGGGGAACCAUUUCAGUGCAUAGCUGGUUAUCGAUCUGAAGAAGCUGUGGAAAUGUUGAAGACCUUCUACAGGCAAGAAAAUCCAAACGCACCAAAAUCAAAAGUUCGGAAAAAGGAAUAUAGUAAAUGACAAGUUAUGGACUAGUUAUGCUGGAAGGAUAACAAAUCAUUGAGAGGCCUGUGAAGUGGAAGAAUGAGGCCUAGACCUCUUGGGUUUCUGUAAAUAAGCCCCUGUAUUGUUGUUAAUAUUUCCAAACCUCUUCUUGUAAAUAAGCCCUGAUAAAUGAAUUGUAUAUAUUCCCAAAACCUCAUUAUUGUAAAUAUAGGAUUUUGAGUUGCAAAUCCCUGUUCAUGGAAAAGACUGGCAGGGUCAAAAGUUCAUUCUUGUUUCACUUUUGGUUUAGCAUUUUGACAGUUGAUUUUUGGAGGGGAAAGAGGUUUUUAAUAAUUGAGGGAAUUUUUGUUUGUUCUGAUUGGCUGGAGACAAGAGUCCUGGAAAGAGAAGUCAACAGAGUCCUGAGAGAGUGACCUGAGAGUCCUGGAAGGAAAAGUCUGCUGGAGCAAGUCAGAGAUGGAGGUUGCAGUAGAGGAAGAGAGUCUGGAAGUCUGCUAGAGAGAAUCCAUGCAGAGAGUGAGCAGCCAGCAAGAAGAAGAGAAGUCUUCUAGCUGAAAUCACUGGAAGAAAAGGAAGAGCCAGGCUGGAUAGAGCCCUAGACCUUUGCCGUAAUCAGAACAAAGAGUCUGCCCAGCAAGCCCAAAGCUGAGAUGCAAGAAAGUACAAGAGGACUCUGAGUAGGGAGGGACCAGUAUAGAGCCAGGGAGAAGAUGCUUUCUGCUUAAAAUAACAACAGAGAAUUGCAAAGAAAUAUUGACCAGGAUCCAAAGAACCACAGAACUAUUUUUGCAUACUCAAGAGAGCUUUGGGCUUGUUUGUUUCAAGCAGCACUUCUCCAUGUUACGUGACAAGCUGCUUUUGAAAUGAAGGGCAGUUACAAAAGCAGCUUGUGAUAUGGCAGGAGCCAAGUGUUUGCUGUUCACAGUCAGUCAAUCAAUCAAUACUUUAUUUGAUGAAUCAAAGGUCACUUGCUCCCAUCCCCCCUGGCAAGCCAAGAACAUAAAACCCAAGUUGGUGUUGAAUCUGGCAAUCCAAGAUAUGUGAUAGAAAUUAUACUGUAAAUCAAAAACUUUAGCAUCAUUUCUUACAGUAUAGCUCUAUAGAAAGUGAUCACAAGAUAUAACAUUAGAUUUAACAUAGUCUAAUUUUCUCAGCUGCCACAGCACAGCCUACAAAACUAUUCAUCAUCAUCAGCCAGAAAAUAAAUAAAUUAUGUUGGGAUCUGUCAUCUCAGGAAAAUGUUUAGAGUCUCAUAAGGACUUGAUGCAAGUCCUUGGACAGAGAAUUAUGGUUCAUUGCACAUGUGCAGUUCUGUACACACUGCUCAGUUAGAAAAGCAACAAUUCUUCCAUUCAGUUCUAUAAUCAAAAGGGGAGAGCAAGGACAACUAAAUCCAGACUGCUGUUUUCCUAGCACAAACAGCUCGUGGGUGCUGUCACUGGCUGACAUACUGAGCAAGAGUACAUCAGCCUAGUAACAUUACAGCUGCAUACAUUGUGUUACAGAAGCGUAGCCCAUUUAAAAUAAUUGGCUUGCUCCUGUGUAACAUGAGUUACAUUGCACAAAUACAAUGUUCCUAGGCUGAUGUACUCUUAUGCAGUAUGUCAACCACUGUUUUUCUAACUGGGCAGGGCAUGUGGUAAGUGGAGAGGAGAAGACAUGCAUAGGAGGUUUCUAUCCGCACAUGCAGUUUCUAACUGCGCUCUGCGUGGGGCUGCUUGUGUACGUAGUCCAUAAAUUACAAUUAGUAUAGAAUGCAGCAGCCAGAUUGGUCUUUGGGACAAUACGAAGGGACCACAUAACACCAGUUUUAAAAGAACUGUACUGGCUGCCAAUAUAUUUCCAGGUGAAAUACAAAGUGCUGGAGAGGAGAACUGGUCUUGUGGAAGCAAGCAUGACUUGUCCCCUUAACUAAGCAGGGUCUGCCCUGGUUGCAUAUGAAUGGGAGACUUGAUGUGUGAGCAUUGCAAGCUAUUCCCCUUAGGGGAUGGAGCCGCUUUGGGAAGAGCAUCUAGGUUCCAAGUUCCCUCCCUGGUAGCAUCUCCAAGAUAGGGUGAGCGAGAGUCCUGCUUGCUACCUUGAAGAAGCCGCUGCCAGUCUGGGUAGACAAUACUGAGCUAGAUGGACCUAUGGUCUGACUCAGUAUAUGGUAGCUUUUUAUGUUCCUAUGUUAUUACCCAUAAAGCCCUUAAUGGCUUGGUUCCAGGCUAUUUAAAAGCACCUCCUUUGUCAUAAACCCUGCUGCCUGUUAUGAUCUUCUGGAGAGGUCCGGUUAUGGUUGCCACUGGCUCAUUUGAUGGCGACCCAGGACUGGGCUUUCUCUGUUGCUGCCCCAGGGCUUGGGAAUAUGCUUCCUGCUUCUCCUUCUCUGGUUGUUGUCAGGAGGAACCUCAAGACUCUCCUCUUUUUGCAGGCUUUUUAUUAGAAUUAAUAAUUUUAAGAACUUGUUUUAAUAACUAUUUUAUUGUGUCAUGUAUUUUAAUCUUCUACUUUUUAAAUAUUUUAAAUUUUUACACCACCUAGAGAUGUACAUAUCAAGUGGUAUAAAAAUAAGAUAGAUAAAUAACUGCAUGUGGAAGUUUGCCUCAUGUAUGAUCUCUGACUAGAUUGGGCAAGUCUUUCUUUUUAAAAACUUGUUCGCAAUCAAA